CCCUUGUUCCCUGGGACAGAUCCCGGCCCUCCCCCGGCUCCUCCCUCCCGUCGGGGAGUUGGAGAGACUGAGAAGGUCCCCCCUGAUCUCCCCCAGCUCCCUCAGCCGCUCCCAAUGCUCCAACCCCUUCCCCAGCUCCCCUGCCUUCCUCUGGACACAUACAGCCCAUUUUCAGUUCCGAGGGACAAAAACCCGCAAAAAGAACCAACAAGGCGGUGGGAUUUUUGGGUUCCCCCCGACCCUUACUCUUACACUCCCCCUCGCCCCGCCCGACAUCCCCCCAGCAGCCGCCGGGGCCGCCCCGCCUGAGGCGGGUGGAGCGCUGAGGAGACGGAGCCCCUGAGGAGGGGAACCGGCACCCCCAGCCGAGGAGAAGGAGGCUUUUUCACAAGAAAGAAAGAAAGAGACGAUGAUGUGCUCAAAACCCAAGGACACGAACGCAAGCAGAAGUACGAGGAGUUUUGACUGCGCUUAGAGAGAAAAUUGGGAGUGAAUGGUCAAGCAUUUUGUCAAUAAUGCAGCGAGACAUCAGUACAACGGGAUCACACAGCACAGGGCACAGCUCUGAAGUGCAGGUUUCCCACUGCAGACACUGCUACAGUAAUGUAUAUAGUCCAGUCUGUACACUGCACUGUAUAAUACAGGAGUUAUUUUAUCCACACUGACCUUGCUGUUUCCAGGAACUGCAGCCUCCACAUCUUUGGCUGUUGUUGCCCUUGAAAACUACCAGGAGCACUGGACAGAUAGUACAUGUUGGCUCUCCCUGUACUGAAUUUGAGGGCAUUUCUGCAUCACAGAUAAAAUAAAUUGUGCUAAAAGA